UGGCGGACGGGUGAGUAACGCGUGAGAAUCUGCCUUUAGGACGGGACAACAGUUGGAAACGGCUGCUAAAACCCGAUGUGCCCUUCGGGGUGAAAUAUUUAUAGCCUGAAGAUGAGCUCGCGUCUGAUUAGCUAGUAGGUGCGGUAAUGGCGUACCUAGGCGACGAUCAGUAACUGGUCUGAGAGGAUGACCAGUCACACUGGGACUGAGACACGGCCCAG
rnacentral:rRNA from 1 species